GGCGAACGGGUGAGUAACACGUGGGUAAUCUCCCCUCGAGUGAGGAAUAACUCCGCGAAAGCGGAGAUAAUACCGCAUAAUAUUCUGGAGCAUAUGCUUUCAGAAUCAAAGCUUUCCGAGCAAUCGGAUGGCGCUUGAGGAUGAGCCUGCGUCCUAUUAGCUAGUUGGUAGGGUAAUGGCCUACCAAGGUAAUGAUGGGUAGCCGGCCUGAGAGGGUGUACGGCCACACUGGGACUGCGACACGGCCCAGACUCCUACGGGAGGCAGCAGUGGGGAAUUUUGCGCAAUGGGCGAAAGCCUGACGCAGCGACGCCGCGUGGAGGAUGAAGGCCUUCGGGUUGUAAACUCCUGUCAGAGGAAAAGAAACCCCGAUUUAUCGGGGCUGACGGUAUCCUCAGAGGAAGCCCCGGCUAACUACGUGCCAGCAGCCGCGGUAAUACGUAGGGGGCAAACGUUGCUCGGAAUUACUGGGCGUAAAGGGUGUGUAGGUGGCUGAAUAAGUCAAAGAUGAAAUCCCAAGGCUCAACCUUGGAACUGUCUUUGAAACUGUUCAGCUUGAGGAUAGUAGAGGAGGACGGAAUUCCCGGUGGAGCGGUGAAAUGCGUAGAUAUCGGGAGGAA
rnacentral:rRNA from 1 species